AUAAUGGAGACCUCUAUUUGAAGGACAUUAGCAUGUUAUUAAAUGGAGCCUAAAUAGUCUCAGCAACAUAACCUUGCAAUCACUUGCAAACAAGUGCAGUCAAGGACAGCCAGUAAAUAUAGUAAUAUGCAGAUAAAGUUGCUUCAUUUCACUAUGAAUAGACAAAAAAAUGCAAAUACAAUUCUUAUGGCACGUAAACAAGUAAAAACAUACACCAAGUGACCAAACCAAACGAACUCAAGACAAUGCAAUUACCAUAUCAAAAUUUUCAUAUCCAUGUUGUUAUAAAUAAGAUGCUCCAAAUUCAAGUUCAAACUUCAAACAUUAAUAUAACAUAUUCACAAUCUUGCGAAAGUAUAACCUCAAAAGCAUUACAUAGCCACUCAUGCUUUUCCAACUUAAAAGCACAUGCAGAACAUCCUUUGAACUUUGGAGAUUUAAGAAAAAUACUUUCAUAUGAUAUCCUAUUUCUAUGUGAUAAAUACAUCUCAUAGUGGAUUUAGGUUCAAAUUUUUAGCUUUCAAUUGUUUUAUAAGAUUUAAAAGAUGGACUAAAGCCAAAUUUGGCUACCUUGGCUUCUGAUUUCACCUAUUAACAGCCCAACGUAUAAAAAAUAGAGUCAGCCAGAUAUAAAUUCUAGUUUCUAAAAGUAGCAUUUUAUGGAUCACAAGUUCUGCAUUAAUGAUAAGUAACUCAUCAUUAAGCAUAAUAUUCAUAUUUCAUUAGUUUAGUAACCAAAGUCAUAAAUGAAAAUGUAUUUCAAAACUGACCUUUACAGAAGAGCCUUUAAG
rnacentral:misc_RNA from 1 species